rnacentral:lncRNA from 1 species
GGCUCGACCGCGGCGUGCUUCCUGCUCCGCUUCUCCACGGGCGGGCUCCCCACGGGCACCUUCGGCCUGACCGGAGUCUCCGUGUGGGAGGCGCUGGUGCUGGAGAUCGUCAUGACCUUCGGCCUCGUCUACACCGUGUACGCCACCGCCGUCGACCCCAAGAAGGGCAGCAUCGGCACCAUCGCGCCGCUCGCGAUUGGGUUCAUUGUGGGAGCCAACAUCCUUGUUGGUGGCGCGUUUGAUGGCGCUUCCAUGAACCCGGCUGUUUCCUUUGGCCCGGCGUUGGUUAGCUGGGAAUGGGGGUACCAGUGGGUGUACUGGGUUGGCCCCCUCAUCGGCGGUGGCCUUGCUGGGGUGAUUUACGAGGUGCUCUUCAUCUCCCACACCCAUGAGCAGCUCCCCACCACCGACUACUAAGCAGAUCGAUGCAAGCUGCUUCUGCUUCCGAGUUCGUUCGGCCGGCGUCAAUGCCCUCCGUUUCGUCGUCUCAUCGUUUAGUUUCGUGAACCCAUGUCCGACUGCUGCUGCUUCGCGGCCAGCGUCGUUUGCUUUGAAUUGAAUCCUUCCGUCGGUCGGUCGGUCGGUCAGUCUGUAUGUGCCCCCGUGCUGUAAAACCAUGCAUAAUCUCCGGGAACCCCGUUAAUUUGCUUAUGUGAAAACCGUGCAUCGAUCUGUCUCUUAAUGAGUUUCUUUUCCAGUGAUAUCCACCCAAUAUGUGCGUGCAUCUGUAAUGAACACCUUGAAUUCUGAAUCUCAUCAGUCAUCAGCGCGCGUGUCAGAAAGGAAGGCCCCAUCGAUCCUGUCUCAUCAGAGAUGGGGGUCUCUCAAUAAUGAACUGUCACGCAUGUGGCGACUAGACGGUACGGUACGACGCCACGUCGGAAUGGGCGCCGGGGGCGAUAAGGCUGACCUGUUCUUGUCGGAGCUCAGCCCCGUCGUGUGCUGCACGGAUCGAUCAACAGCUCCCUAGAGGGAUUGUGGAACAUUAUUGCUGCUUAAUUAAAUUUCAGCUCCUACUCCUUUCCUGCCGAAUAUACCUCUCUCCGGGUUCCUACAAAAGCAAGUGUACGUACGGUACUGGAGCCGUUGUUGGUGUCGCUGGCGCAAUCAGGGCUCGUGCUUCUUCUGCCAGCCUGACCACCACUAACUCUGGCACGGGACUGAAGACAAGCAGCAAGCUAUUUUGGAGGCCACAUCACCCUUGAUAGUUUUAUCGUCUUCUUCGAUAUGUUUUCUCUCCCACGGAAGUCCUAACUACCGGUCGAUGUGUCCUUACCGAAAGGGAGUGCGCAUUAAUAAUCAUCAUUAGCUUAAACUGCUCAAGAGAAUUAAGGGCUGUGAUGUAUGACAUGUGGCUAGCUAGCUUAAUAUUCUAGUCAACCGAUCUGUCUUUUGCGUUUAUGCGGCAUUGUGCCAUUGAGUUUAGCUAGCUCAAAUGCAACUUGGCGCGCACUAUGUGUGCCAGCACAUGCAAGUACUAUACAUAUCAACGAUUUUAUUAAGUUAAGUAAAACAUGUUGAACAUGUCAAUUUAUUUGCCACACUUUUUCCCUUUGCAUGGUGAUGCGGUGCCUGUAAUUCAGGGUUUAGCUAGGCAUUCAAACAGAGCGUCAGUCUGAACUGGAAUUGCCAAUUCGUCGGAAUCUUCGGCAGAAUAAUGAUUUUGUCAGCGUUUACGCUAGCCUCCUGACCAAUUAAAACCCAAAGGCGGCUCUCUCAUCUUUGGAUAUACCAAGUUCCAGGACCACACCAAUCAUCGCUAGCUUAUGUAACUUAGCAUUAUCCUGUCAGCUCAUCUGACUUGAUUAUGACACCAGAACUGUCUUUAGUGCUAGUUAAAUAGCUAUAGCUAAUUAAUCGAGUUGUCAUUAAGAACAGAUUUUCUAUACAUAUAUAUGCUGUUCUGUUCAACCUUCAUAAUCAGUCCUGUUCCUAAUCACCACUUAAUCAAAUACUGUUUGUGCAUACGUCCCUUUUCAGCUGCACCGGCCAGAGAUCAGCACGUCACAAAGUGUCGCUAUUCCAGCAAUGAAUACUGACGAGGGCCGGGAGGAAGAGGGUGGGGAGGUUAAGAAGAGAGAUGCGGGAGUGAUGUCCGGAAACCCCUGAGACCCGUUGGGGCGCUCCAAUGGGCGAUUCUGGGCCAUCUCGCCGGAAAGUGACUGUGAGAGUGAUGGGGAGUCGUCGGAAAGUGACUCAUCAUCGAUUGCUUCUGGAUCUACGUCGUGGGAACAUUGUCUCACGCCGGAAUCAGCCAGAUCCAUCGCUUUGAAGGAAAAGAGUUCUGAUCUUUCUAGGCGGGAAGCGAAGAGGAGGAGGAAGCGGUUCCAGAUGCAGACGCGGAUGCAGGUGAGGUCUGAGAUUGAUCUCAAUUCUCUUAUUUGCAGUAAAUCAACGUCUGGAUCCGGAGCUUCGCCAGCGCGUGCGUCUGUAAAGCCGCGGGAGGCGGUCCUGUCACCUUCUUCUUUCUUGUUGGAGAACUUCAAUGCGGAGGAGUGGGUUCUUGUAAGGCGGCGGCGGCGGCGUGCAUCCAUCUCGGCGGCAUCUUCCACGUCGAAGGUAAAUUUCUCUCGUCGUUGCAACGAUCCCCGUCAGUCGAUGAUGAGUUUGAAUCUCAAAUCGUACGGUCAAGUGGGCCCCGCAACUUCUGCGUUGCAUGCGAGCCCAGUUACGAUUCUGCAGGGCCAUACGGGCCCGGGAUCCGUAGCCCAAUCCAGGUCGAAUCGGAUUGAUUCGGCUGGCCGAUCCCUGCGUUGCCUGUUAGGUUACGGGUGGCGUACGGAUCAAUCUCGUGCUCCGAUAAUUCCGUCUCUUGUUGCUUCCGGAACCAUGGCGAACCUUGGUGGAGGUAGGGGAGGCGGCUUUGAUCCUGGUGUUGUUGGUGAUGGCCACGGCUAUCCUGCUCAGGCGCAUGGAUCUGGCGGUGGUGCGGGCCGCGGUGGCGCUCCUCCUCAGGCGCAUGGAUAUGGCGGUGGUGCUCCUGCUAUGGCGUUUGGCCGAGGUCAGGGACAGGGUUCUGGUGCUGCGCCUGAUCGGGGUUCUGGUUAUGGCAGUGGCGGCGAGGCUCAUGGCGGUGGCUAUGGCGACUUCCACCCUGGUCGUUGGGCUGCUGGUCACUAUGGUGGUGGUGGUCGGUAUGGCGGCGGUGGAUAUCGUCGGCGGUAUGAGUUCCGGGCGGGUCGUGGAGACUACCGUGGUGGUCGAGGGGCUUACAAUGGUAAUGCUCGUGGUUGUGGUGCUUACGCAGGUGGUGGUCGUGGCUCAGGUGGCCGAAACAUCCCCUAUUCUUAUUCGGCAGACGAGUCGUCAGCACGUGGUGGUGCUGCUGGAGGCGCCCAAAUGUCUGCUACGUCGGUUGCGACGGUUGUUGCUAGUGCAGGAGGGCAUCCGCAUCUGGCGGAGCCUCAGGCGGCGCAGGAGAUGCCCGUGGUUCAGGCUCAAGUGACGGCUGCUCUGCCAGCAGCUUCAGCAGGUCUGGAUGCUGCUGAUGUUCCCUCUGCCGUGGUGCAACAGCGAGCUCAAGAGAAAGCACCUGAUUUUAUCCCGUUGGAGCCGGUCAUUGUGAAUGUGGCUGGCAGUUCAUCAGGGUCAAACAAUGCGGCUGCUGUUGCUACUAAAACUGGGAAGAGAAAAGAUAAGGUAAAAUGUUUCCGAUGUGGGUUCACAGGCCACAUUUCUUUUGAUUGUACUACGGUGUUGUGCGAUUAUUGUGAAUCCGCGGAGCAUGUGUCUUCUGUGUACCCUCUUUUACUUGCUCCAAAACCACAAGUGGUGAUGCAUGGGGUAUGCUGAUGAGGAGCUUAUGUUCUUUGACAUGCCACUCACAGGUUCGUAUCGGCCUAAGUAUGAGAACACUCGUUUGGGCAUGGUGACGGUGGAGGGGGGCAGUUUGUCUGUUUCUCAGCUUGUUUCACUGCUCCGGUUGUUUGUCCCGUCUGAUAAUUUUGAGUGGGAGGUGAGUUCGUCCGAGGAUAAUGUUUUCAAGGUGCAAUUUCCUUCCAAGCUUGAGUUGCAGCAGAUGAUCAGAUUUGGCAAAUUUAAUGUUCCUACGAGUGAAUGUAGGAUCACUUUUGAUGAGUGGUCUCCUAAGCUGAAUCCUAAUUGGCUUGUUCAAGAUGUGUGGGUGCGAAUCGCUGGUAUUCCCCCAGCUGUGAAGGGGUCCUUCUUAGCUCUCUGGGGACUGGGUUCACCGCUUGGUAAGACCAAGGAGGUUGACAUGGCAUUUACAUGUCAGCACGGGGUAUUGCGUAUUUUCAUUGGGUGGGUUGAUUAUACAUGUAUACCAGAGCGAAAGGAUCUGCUCAUCAAGGAUGGCCUCUACAGGCUUACUUUCCAGGUGGAAGGACCACCAAGGGAGGAGGGGCUUGGUGAUGAAGUUAUGCAUGAUGCUAAUGAGGGUGACGAUGAGGGGGAUAAGAAAAAGGAUGCUUCAGAGAAGUCCGAUCUGGAUGAUCGUGGUGGUAAGCGUGGCAAAAAUGUGGAUGGCGACACCUCUACUUCUUCGUCGGUUGGAGGGAGUGGUGGUGCAGCGGCACCCACUUCUUCUUCUCCGACCGAUGGGUCCAAUGUGGUGAUGAUUCGUAUUGGCUCUGUGGAGACACCGGUUCCUAUGUCCAGGGUCCCGCUUGUAUCUGUUUCAGCUCCGAUGUCUUAUAGUAAGAUUGCAGCUCCUCGUCGUCUGUGGGCUGACCUUGUGGAGGAGGAAUUGCCGUGUUUUGGGUCUGCUCCGCCUCGUGUUGACAGGUCGAGAUACGAAGGUGGACGGCCUAUGGGCAGCGUGGUGUCAAGGUCGAUCGUCGCUGCGCCUUCUCAUGUGGAUUCUGUGGCCGGUGAUAUGGUUGCGCCUGCUAGGCAUAGUGCUACCAUGAAGCAGCUUUGCUCUGUGGUUGCUUCCGAUGUGCGAUCCGGGCACGAGCAGGGGGCGCUGCUCCCUACUAGUGAGGUGGAGCCCCAAGAAGGGCAGCGUGAUGUGGAGUAGGUGGCUUCACCGCCGUCUGACCUUUCUCCGUCCCCAUGGCAGGUGGCUGGGGGGUCACGAAAUCGCUCGUUGCCGUCGUCGUUGCAGACCGCUUCUUCGACCCGUGUGCCAGGAGGGCGUGCGGGGGCGAAGAGCUCGUCGGCGCGGACCUCUUCUUCGACCCGUGUGCCAGGAAGGGGUGUGGGGGCGGAGAGCUCGUCGGCGCGGACCUCUAAUAUGCCGAUGAUACUAUUAUUUUCAUGGAGCACGACUUAGAGAAAGCCGUUAAUAUGAAACUAAUUCUCUGUAUUUUUGAACAACUUUCGGGACUGAAGAUUAAUUUUCAUAAAAGUGAGCUCUUUUGUUUUGGUCAAGCGAAAGAUGAAGAACAUCAGUAUAAGCGUCUCUUUGGAUGCGAGUCUGGGUCUUUGCCUUUUAAAUACUUGGGUAUCCCUAUUCAUUAUAGAAAACUUCUUAACAAAGAAUGGAAGGCUGUUGAGGACCGCUUUGAAAAAAAAUUGGGAUGUUGGCAAGCCAAGUUACUCUCAUAUGGAGAUCGCUUUGUGCUUAUUAACUCUGUUCUCACAAGUAUGCCAAUGUUUAUGUUGUCCUUCCUUGAAAUACCUAAAGGGGUACGGAAGCGUCUUGAUUUUUAUAGAUCCAGAUUUUUUUGGCAAAGUGAUGAGCAUAAACGAAAAUAUCGUUUAACAAAGUGGAAUAUUAUUUGUCAUCCUAAAUAACAAGGGGGGUUGGGGAUUGAGCUUUUGGAUACUAAAAAUGUGUGUUUACUCAGCAAAUGGCUGUUUAAGCUUCUUAAUGAGCAGGGUAUGUGGCAAGAGUUGCUACAUAAUAAAUAUCUUCAUUCUAAAGCUCUUUCUCAAGUUCAGGCUAUGGCCACAGACUCCCCAUUCUGGAAAGGACUUAUGUGAGUUAAGACGGCCUUUUUUAAUCGAGGUUCUUUUAUUGUUGGGAAUGGAAUGAGCACUCGGUUUUGGGAAGAUACUUGGCUAGGUGAUACACCUCUUGCCCAUCAAUAUCCAUCAUUAUAUAAUAUUGUGCAACGAAAAAGUGUUUUGGUUGCGACUGUUCUGUCAUCUGUUCCUCUGAAUAUUGGCUUUAGACGUACACUGACAGGGAAUAAAUGGACAUCUUGGUUACAUUUAGUCCACCGUUUAAUAAUGGUUCGCUUUUCUGCUGAUUCAGAUUCUUUUUCCUGGAAACUUAAUUCAACUGGAGUAUUCACGGUUAAGUCUAUGUACAGAGAGUUGAUGGAUGGGCAUACUGUUUUUCCUCAAAAUUAUUUAUGGAAGAUUAAAAUACCUUUGAAAAUCAAGAUUUUUAUGUGGUUUCUUUAUAGAAAAGUGCCGCUGACAAAAGACAAUCUUACUAAGCGUAAUUGGAUGUGUGUAAACAAUGUUGUUUUUGCGGAUUAGAAGAGACUAUCCAUCACUUGUUUAUAACAUGUCCAUAUGCUCGUCUUGUGUGGCGAAUUGUUCAUAUAUCUUUUAAUUUGUCACUCCCAACCAAUGUCACAGAUAUGUUUGGGAAUUGGUUGAACGGUGUUGAUAAAAAACUAAAGCUCAAAUUCGGGUGGGAGUUUCUGUCUUUUGUUGGGCUAUUUGGAACUGCCGAAAUGAUAUUGUUUUUAACAAGACUAGAGUGGUUAUUUUUUUUCAGGUAAUCUACAGAGCCACUCACUGGAUCCGUUUGUGGUCUUAUCUACUCCCUGUGGACCAACGGGAGCUUUUGGAUACUGGGUGCAACCGUCUGGAGAUGGUUACUCGGGAUAUCUUCAGCCGGGGUGGAUGGCGGUCCACUGGUAGAAUUCUAACUACAUGAUGUAUAGGCAUUAUUUGUAUCUUUUAUUUCGCUGGCUGAUUUUUGUGUCAACCUUGUGUGAUGCAUAAACUGUAUUUUUAGUUGUGUGUAUCGAUUGAUGCAGAAGCCGGGUCUUUUCCCCCUUUUCGAAAAAAAAAAUUGAAUCUCUCUCGAUGUCGCCAGUGAUCCCGUGACGUGGAACCGAGAUUAUCCCCGCCCGAGGGCCGUCCUCUCGAGGAGAGCUUUCAGUUGACGGUACGAAAGAUGGAGAUCGCAACCGAACCGAAGGCGGAGAAGGCCCGGCCACUGAAUCUCUCCAAUGCCACUGGAUAAGUUGAUAACGCUUCACGACUGCCGCGGAAUUCACAAGAGCGCACGUGUUUCGACGAAGCGUUCUCUCAAGCACUCGACUAUAUACAGUUUUGGAAGAAUUCCAGCGACCAAUUCUGUCACGCAUCAAGGGGAAACCAGAUUGAGUUUACAGAAAAAUAAGUAAAGGAAAUGGACACAGAUUUAGUUGUCGAAGAAAAUAUUGACGGCAUGACACAGCUCACGAAGACUUAGUUAGGCUGAUUUAGUUUGUCAGAUAAGCGAAGUAAUUGAGCAGUCACAUCCGCAUCGGUUGAGCUGAUUCGGCGGUGAUUUUGGCCGGUUCUCGUGACUGUAACUGUUAGUUCCUUGUAUACCUUCGUAUAUAUUCCAUGGCGGAACAAUAGUUGCUAUCAGAUCGACCGAUCGACCGGGCCAACAUAGACGAAUUAUACGCUCGAUCGCGACCUCGCGUGCCUUUCAAAACAUAACACUAGUACUCCUACAUAAUAGUAACCCCUAAUAAAGUGGCCCAGUGUAAAUAGCCAUCCUUUGUCUGUGUCUCGAAAAGAACUCUUGUCAUGUGAUCACAUAUGUAUACACAACGGCAUGGCUGUGAGCCAGAGCCCACAGGCAGGCACGUGCCGUUCCCGAUUAUCGCUUCCCUGAAACAAGUUCACCUUGCAACGAAGUUGAUUUACAGGUUGCAUGCGUUGAGUGAGUCCAUGCUGAAGCUGUGUCAUCGGAUACCGUCGUCCACGAUGUCGAUCGUGCAGCGAAAGGAUGGGGCCUUGGGGGCUUGCUCCGCUGGCUGGAUCAGCAGUGAGUGACUGAGUGGACCGGAUCCCGAGCAUGGGCCCAUUUCAUGCAUCUGAGUGCGGAAACGGGGGACAAACUCACGGACCAGGCCGCGUGGCCCGUGGGCACCACCGCUGUCUCUCCCUGCCCUGCCCGAUUAGAUCAAUCAGCGUGGCCCGCCAAACAAAAAUGCCGUCGUGAAUUCGCUGCCUACCCCGGAAUUUCUGAUCUUUUUUGCCAUCGCGCAAUGCACAUGCAUGAAUGUAUCCAAACCUUUUCCCUUUUUCGGCGAAGAAGUAUCCAAACCUUUCCACGUGCUUCCGUUCUUCGAAUGGGAUAGCCUGCUGGCCCAAACCUGCUAACUUCGUUUCUUGGCCAAAUAUGGCACUCAUCGUUCCCUCUCGGGCGGGCAAUGCAGCAUUGCAGCCAUGGUUUCAUGGACGGUCGUACGUAACUAAGAUCAAAAAACAUAUGCGUGGUAGACAAGUUCAGGAUCUCAUGUGAAAUGAUUAAGUAGCGUGUGCGACCCCUGAUUUCUUCAACGAACAAUUUUAUGCCGUGUUAAACUUCGGUCGUGCAUGGGCUCGGUGCGAAGUGGAGAACACAUAUAUUGUUCUGUUGCUGCCUUUCUAUGAGUCCUGAUGAUUGAUCCGUCAAAGCGAGCGACUCAGGAUCGUCCUAUUACCGUGUCCUUCCAUGCAUGGAAAAGGAAAAGACACUAGCAGCCUGCACGCAUCACGUGCAUCCUCCCCCUGGGAACCCAUCAAGGUCCUUUGUCUCGUCCUUGUUCUCUGCUCACAAGCUGGUUACCGCGCGCACAAACGAAAGUCGAGGUGCUUCACCCUCCACGGGCAAGUACAUGAACACGUAUACACUUUAACAGGCUAGCUUUGACAAGAGAGGGAUUUCUAAUCCUCUAUCACUCGCGGGCUAUUUACUCGUCGAUCAACUGGGCAUGCGUUAGUUCGACACUUCGACUGAAGCACCAUGAGCAUGGUGGCGGAGAGCAAUGCAUUGGAUCAUUUCGAGCUUUAUCGAGGAGUUCAUGUACCGACAUAGCUAGGUGACGGUUCAGAGACAGGCUUUACCCAAACGGCAUGAUGACGUACUGAAUGAACAACACGUUUAGCAUGGUGCAUAUACUGUAAAAAGAAAAGAAACAACUUUAUUACGCGUAACAAAUAGGUUACACACUUUCAAUAAUCUUCAGGACACAUGUAUAUGUAGUUGCACGGAGUUAGCAUUAUUUCCGAUCAUAUAUAGAUACAAAUAUACGAUCACGUUACAUUGUUUAAUUAAGUAGUUGAUCACACGGAGUACAUCAGUUAGUGCUCUUCUCGAUCGAUGACUUGGAGCUUGACGCCAUGCUUGAAGUUGUUCACGAUGGAGAACUCGAGCUGCAGGGGAAACUCCAUGCCGGGGGAGUGCCUGAAGACGUAGCGGCGGUACAGGUGGAUAACCACGAGCUUGAGCUGCUGCAUGGCGAACUUCUGCCCGGGGCAACCCCGAGGGCCGAUGCCGAAGGGGAGGAACGCGUAGGGGUGCCUUCGCUUGCAUUCCUCGUCCUCCGGGUCGAACCGCUCGGGACGGAACGUGUACGGGUCGGGGAAAUGCUUCGGGUCUUUCGAUAGCUGCCCCGUCGCUAGCCACACCCACGUUCCCUGCGUGCGUGCAGGCACCAUUUUUGACUCGGUAAACUCAUAAAAAUGAAAAUUGAUGUGGCCGUACAUAUUCCAUUUUAGCCUUGACCACAUAAGGCAGCAGAUUGGCACGAACCUUUGGCAGGAGAUAGCCUCCGAUCUCGACGUCCUCGGUCGUUUCCCUCGAAACCAGCGGGGACGAAGAAUAGAACCUCAUCGUCUCCUUCAAAACCUAUUGGGGCAAAAGUUGUACAUGGAUGUUAACACAGGUUAUGAUCGAUACGUUUAAUCUUUUUUUUUAGGGAAUCGAUACGUUUAAUCUGAAGAUCGUGCAAACGACCGAGACGAACCUGCUCCAAGUAGGUGAACUUGGUGUUGAGUUCCUCGGCGUCAGGCACGAGGUCCUUGGGCCCAAACGCGUCGAUCUCACUUAGCAUCUUCUCCUCCACCUCCGGGUGCAUGGCGACCCGGUACGCGAGUCCCGAGAGCGUGAAGGACAUGGACCCGGACCCGGCGAGCAAGUGCUCGUAGGUGAGCGCGGAGACGUAGUCGGCCGUGAAGAGCUCCCUCAUGGCGUGGCUGCUCUCCCGGGCCUUGAGCAGCACGGACAGGAAGUUCUUCUUCUCCCCCUCGCUCUGGGCCUCCAUGGCGGCCCGCUCCGCCACGAUGGCGUCCACGAGCCCGCUAAGGGCCCGGUUGGUCUCGUCCAUCAGGCGGUCCGCCGAGCCCGGCACCCGCAGCAGCAGCUGCCGGGCCGGCUCCUGCAGCAGCGGCGCCACGGUUCCCAGCACCAUGGAGAGCGACCCAUUGAGGUCCGCCUUGAGCGACGUCAGCGCGUACAGGUGCUUCUCGAUGAAGUCGUCCGUGGCUGUUUUUUCGUUGUUGAUGGUGCUGUCGACAUUGUUGGCGUCGUCGGGUUUGGUGAGCCCGAAGUCGACGCCGAACGCGGCUUGCCCGAUGGUGUCGGAGAAGAGCUUGACGGCGAGGUCGGAGAAGGCGACCUCUUGGCCGGGGUGGAGGAGACGGGCGGCGCGGCGGAUGUAGGGAUGGACGGCCGGGAUGAGGCUUGCAAGGUGAGAUGGCUGGUAGAUGGCGAUGAUCACGUUCCGCAUCGACUGCCACCUCGAGCCCCUGCAAUUAAUUUGGUUUGCAUGCGUUUAAAACUAGCUCUAGCUAGCUCUAGCAGCUUAAUUAUGUCCAAGACGCGAUCUCCAUUGUAAGUUGGACGUACUUGGUGAAGAGGAGACUUUUGAAGUGGAUGGGCGAGCUACGGAUGGUGCUGGGCACGCUCCUGUCGACGACGCUCUUGAACUUCUUGAUGCCGGCCUCCCUGCACAGCUCUGCGUCCGCGAUCACCACCACCGGCUGUCGACCCAGGUAAAACCUGGACAGAACACACCGACCGCCAGCGUAUUAAGUGCAGAUCGAAAGCCUUAAACUACAACUGAUACAGGUUUGAUAUAUCUAAGUCGUUUAAUUUUUAGUUAGGACAAGUUGAUCUGUGAGAUGAAAAAUCAAGUAUAUACGUAGGAUAUAGCCACCCAAUUGAAAUUGAUCGGCCGGUGUGUGGAGUUACUAAUUAACAACUGACCUGUAGAUGGGCCCGUAUCUCCUUGCGAGGACGCCAAAGACCUCGGGGCCAUGCUUGGUGAAGAGCGGCAGGUGGCCGAUGAGCCCGUAGGCGAGAGGCCCGGGCACCCUGCGCAGGCGCCACGACGGCGCGUAGAAAUACACGGCGAAUGCGCCGGCCGCCAGUGCCGCCACGGUGAACAGAAUCGCUGCCAAUGGCGACUCCAUCUGACGGCUCCAGAGUACUCCCGCUCCGUCCAUCGUACGUCUGUCUUGCCGAGCUUAGCGAUCGAUGGGGAAGAGUCACCACUUAUAUACACAUGUUUUGCAUGGGUUGUCGUGUCGACGGAGACCAAGCUGUACGUAUACGGGGUAGGUAGGAGUAGUACGUACGUACGUACAAGAAAGAAAAAUAGAAUGGGUGUGGGACCCAAUACCUGUAGCUGCUGCUCACACGUGACUGGAAUAUGGGUAGUUCAAAAGUAUGGUUAUUGUGUUUUUUUUUGCGGUGAAAAGUGUGGUUAUUGUUGAUGAGACGAUGGAUGUAAAUGUAAUCUAAGACCGCAGGAGAGUAUAUAUGAUUGACCGGUCCUGGAUGACUCCAUGGCGUUGAGCCGUUGAAUAUGACUAGUGCACGUUAUUAUCGUGUUGUACGUAUGGUUUUGCACGUUGAGAAAACUGGCCAAUUUCGUGAGAUCCAAAUCCGAUCCACACGGUAAAGAGAAAAAGAAAAGAUCGAUAGUUCCACUCCUGAUUAAUUUACUGUCCAAACAACCACGAGGGGCUGCAUGCAUGACCGAAUCAAAGUAAAUUACCCACCACGUGGGUCGAUUGAUCAUCAUCGGACGUCUUUUGCACUGGAUCAGACAAAAUCAAGGAACGUUCCUUGUUAUUCUACAUGCAUGCGACCCGUACGUCCUCGAUCGCAUUCUGACUGGCGACUCCACCAAACCAUUUCUACGUUGCACGUAUACACCACGAUAUAUUCAAACGCACAGCUGGCUAAAAUCAAAGAACAUCGGCCAGUAGUUACUUCUUCUUUGGGGAAGUGCAACGAAGAAUUAAGAUCGACCAUUUGCAAGUUGCGUGCGUCCUGUACGACUCUAGCUAUCAAGGUCCCAUUGGAUACACAUACACUGUCUCGCGGAAGUCUCCUUCCGUGCGAAUUGAAAUGGCAGUGUUGGGGGCUGCACUGCACGCGUCAGAGCUUCACGCAACCCGGGCCACACGAGGCCGAUAUUCCUGACGUGCGUAGCCUCCCUAUUUCUUUCUACGUGCACACGGAGGCUAGACAAUUUUUCUCAAAAUAUUUGCAUAUCUGGAUCCACAAUUAGCAUAAUAAAUUAUUGUAUAAUUAACCAUGUAUAUUUUUUUUCUAGGAAAAAGACUUCAGUUUUGUCAUCCUACCAGGCGCCACCGUUUUUUUUUCUAUGGGUGUGGUUAUAUCUUAGUCGACUGAUUUUUAAUCAAAUGGCUUAAAUCUCGGUCGACGUAUCAUACCCGUUGGAUUACUAUAUAGAUAUCGUUUCACUCUCCAUUUUUCAUCAUUCGUCCCGAAUCUUAAAGCACAUACCAUAUUCAAUGGCUGAGAAAUCGAUAUCUCUAACUAAUAAUUAGUCGACUUAGAUAUAGCAAACCCGUUUUUCUAUAUCAUGUCCCCGUGAAAACAGAGAUGAGUUUUUAGCUCUAACUAGUCAACUCUCUUCUUCUUAAUAGGAUCGAGGCACUUGGACUUCAGUCAAAAUAAGGAAAAAUCCAAUGAAAUUAAAUGGGGACAUGUGAACCAAGCAAAUAUUAAUGAACAUUGAUGAUUGACCUAUAACCAUAGUAAGCAUACAUGUAUCAAAAUGGCCAUUCUUUGGAUAUAAUUAAUUAAAGGUUGAGUACUUAAAGUUUUCCUUUAAAAAACCAUGGCUCUACGCUCUAUAUAUUGUCUUCCCAAACAACAUACUGCUAGCAAGGAAUCAUACAAUUCUAAGUUAGGUUGAAGGAACUCAUUUCCUUGUGCCAAUGGGUCGUGGUUAUGUUGUCAUAUCAAUGUUACUUUGCUUUUUAUUCGCAUCUUGGUACCUCACUUUGGCUGAAUCAACGGAUUCAGGUGGUAAUCUGCAGAUGAAUGACAAGGUAAAAAAUCCACACAUGGAACUCUUUCUCACUUGUUUUUCUUUUAAUUCACUAGAUUCUCGUAUUUCACAUGUAUGUUACUAUACAUACAUGAAGCUUACAUAUGCCACAACAAUUAUUUUCUUUCGUAGAAAGCUACUAUUUUGGUACCAACCGGAGGUGCCAAAAAUCAGGAUGGAGAAAGAAAGAACAUUACUCUUUCAACAACCAAACCUAUCUGGUUCCCACGAAGAGCCAACAUUCUGGAUGAAGACAACACCAUUUCUCAUGUACUCUCUCUCUCUCUCUCUCUAAAUUUGGAUGCAAUUAUGUUUGCCCACUGCAAUUAAUUUCUCUGUUUGGUCCCUAAUUUGAUUUAUGUCUUGUUGUCACUAGUAUGCAAUGUGGCGCACAACAACAGGAAAACGUUAUGGUUUUCGAGCUGAAAUGAGUAUAUGGGGUUCACCAAAUCAACACUACUCUCAAGACUCCGGAUCAGCAAUACAAAUGUAUUGUGCAGAAGGAGAUCGCUACCGCUUAAUCGAAGCCGGAUUUCACGUACAAAUAGAUCAUCCAUGCAUUAUUUUGAUAAGCUCAAAUACUUUCAAAAAACGGUUAUCUUAAAUUUUGGCCUGGCCGGUUUGCAGGUUGCUCCCGCUUUGUACCAUAAUAGAGAUGUCCGCUUCUUUACAUAUUGGACGGUAAGUUUAAACUUUAAGUUAGUUUUCCUCCCGCAGUUUUCUAGUUUUUUUUACUAUUUAUCAGAUUAACUUUUGUCAUUGUUUCCCACAGUAAUACAUGUUAUUUUUUUAUCAUUGAUCAGAAGGACACCAAAUCAGCGGGUUGCUACAACUUGAAUUGCCCCGGAUUUGUUCCUGCGCCUGGAGCUGCACUGGUGCCUGGUCAAGCCAUUGCUCCUACGUCAACUUAUGAUGUACAAGACCGCUAUGUCAGGCUUAGCAUAAAUGAGGUAUCCUUUUAUCCUGACAGAGACACAUAUAUAUUUACCAAAUAUUGCAUUUGAAGAUACAUGGCUAAUGACAUGUUGCUAAUUUUUUAUAUGGAAAACCAUUAGAGCAUAUCCACUUUUAUUUAUUAGAUUUUUUAGUACUUCAAAUUGAAACAUUCAUGCGGAUAUAUGUAAGAAUCUGGCUUGACUAAAUGAAUAACCAUGGGAAGCUCUUGUUCAAAAUCCACGAUGAUUUGUAUACAGAUUCAGCUAGAUUUUCUUGAUUUUUUUUAACAUAUGUUCCAAAUGCUCCAGGUAGACAAAACAAUGCUAAUUAAUUAUUGGAUGACUGAAUUCAACAAACAAGGAACAAACCUGGUUAUUUGUCAAGUUACUUAAUUAGAUGGAAGCUGAAUUAAUACAUUAUGUCAUGCUUAAGUACCAUGAAAUCAAAGAUAAGAAUCUAAAAUUGUUUUCACUAAAUAUUUUAAGCAAACUAUCUAGUUUAUUUAUUUUUCUUUCUUCAUGAAAAUUAAAAUUUAUAACCAUCACCCCUUGUCGAUUGUGUACAGGAUCCAAAAUCAGGAGAUUUGGUGUUGUACCGGCAUGACUUAGAGAGACCCUCGUUCUUGGGGCAUUUCCCACGUGAGCUUUGCCCUGGAACGUCACGAAUACAAGCAUUGACUGGAUUCGUGAAUUACCUACUGACUAUAAAGGGUCCUCCAAUGGGCAGCGGCCAUUUCCCCAGUAGAAAUCCUAAGAGAUCUGGAUACUUCAAGCAUAUCAAGAUUUAUGACUCCAAAGGUCGCGCUUGGGACCCACAUACAACCCCGAUUAAGAAAGUAGCUGACAAGUGGGACUGCUAUAACCAAACCAGUCUUUUUCUUCAGCGUGACAUGGGCUACGCGUUUUUCUACGGUGGGCCAAGUGGCUGUGUUAGUUGACAAUACAUGUUCUGUUUGCUUCAUGUGAUUCAAUAAAGCAUCAAUUAUAUAUGUUCCUUUUGAUGGACAUGCAGCCAUGUUUGUUUGUUUUCUUGCCAGGCUGCAUUUAGCAUAUGAUGGAUUGUCGCAAUUUCAUCUCAAGGUUUUAUAUCACUGGGAUUUCGAUAAAAAACUCAUUUGCUGGUCAAUCUGAAAAGGGACUCGCUUGGGCUCAGUCGACUGAGAACGAGUAGUUCUCAGUCGAUGGUAGUACUAGCUAGCAAUUGAUUGAUUUUUUAUAGCUAUUUCUACCCGAUUUUACUCACCCCGCUGGCUGCUUUUUUUUUUUUUUUAGUUUGUGUGUUCUCCUGACUUUGUAGGCUUGCUGGGACAUAGCCAAUACUAUAAAAUUCUCAUGCAACUAAAAUAAUCAUAAAACCAUUGUGCAAUUUAAAAACUGCAAUUUAAAUUUCUUGCAAAAGAGAAAAUUUAUAGCAGGAAAAAUUACAGACAAUUCUAAAAUUUGCACGUGAAAUUUUAUGCGAUAUUCUAAUUGCACGUGAAAUUUUCUGCACGAUUCUAAAAAUUGCACGUGAAGUUUUAUAAGCGAUUCUAAUUGCACUUGAAAUUUUGUGCACGAUUCUAAAAAUUGCACGUGAAAUUUUAUACGGAUUCUAAUUUCACGUGAAAUUUUGUGCACGAGUUUAAAAAUUGCAUGUGAAAUUUUGGGUGCAAUUCUAAAAUUGCACGUGAAAUUUUGUGCGCUAUUCUAAUAAAUUGAAGAAAGGAAAAACCGAAGAAUUAAAAUCUUACAUAAAUCUGCCAAGAUGAAGAUUUGAACCUUUCAUCUCUGUCUGGAAAACAAAAACACAUUAUCAGUGCAACAACAUGACUUUGUUGUCUAUAGAGGGACGCGGCCUUAUUUAUUCAAAAAAACUCUGCGCUGUCUUCCUGCACCACGAAUCUUUGAUGCCUGAUCCAACGUCUCACAAGCAUCGACUGAGAAAAGCUAAUUGUCAGGCGACUGCUCCCUAGCCAAUUCGAUCUGAAAAAUGGUAAAUCUUGAAAAGAUAACCAUCGUAUGACCAGUGGCAGAGCUAGGAAAGAAAUUAUUUAAGGAGGGGCCAGUCUUGAUUACCAGACAAUUUAGGUUGUAGUUUUGAUGCAUAAUUAGGAAAAACUAAAGUAUUCACAUGGUGCUAUUAAUCAAGAUGAUUACAAGAUUAAGGGUGGGCACAACCCUCUACUGUUAGCGCCAAGGAUCCAAGCCUGGGUGUCCGGGAAGAACUCCACCCAGGGCAGCUGCGUGACGGCGCAGUCGCCGAUGACCCCAACGGGGUACGUGAGGAGCUCGCACUCCGGUGCGUCGCCGCCGGCCUGUGCGCCUCUGCUCCUGUCGUGCGCCUACGCGCGCCGCUGCUGCCCCCGCCACGUGCCACCGCGGUUCCGUGACUUCCGUCCUCGACUCCGGCCAGUGCUUGGAAGGUUCUAUGAUGGCUCUAUGGGGUGACUUAAUGGUUUUCGCUUAGUUCUCUGCUAAAUAUUUGGAUAACUCUUGGAGGGGACUACACAGCGACGUGCCCGCCCACCGAUCUUUACCGUACGGCGGCCCCCUCCACGGUCAUGCGCUGCACGGGACCUGCUCGCCCACGGUGUGCAGCCAGGCCGGCCCAGCAGCGCGUUGGCCCAGCUACCCAUCCGCAGUGUGUUGGUCCAGUAGCACCUUGGCACAGCAUCAUUAGCUGAUCGCAGGAACGCAACGCAUCAUAGCUUAGCCUCAGAAGCACGUUAUUGGCUUGGCCUUCAGUCAAGCUCACUUUGGUUCUCUUCUUCUAAAAAUAGACAUAUUUUCAUCAUAUUAGAAAAAAGGAAAAAAAUGCUAUAGACGGCGUGCGCACCACAACCUGCUCGUAAGUCGCCGUGCAUUCGGCACGUUCUGGCCAACUCGCACUCUGUUGUCUUUAAGUGACUAGCUGGCGACGUUUGCAGCCUUGCGCUAACAUGCGGCGUCCACGUUAGGUGAACUAUAUAUACUUCUAUCAUCUGAGGAUAACAUCUUUUACUUGUUGAAACACUUCACUAUAUCACUUGUUUACAACCAGGUAAUAUAAUAGUCACUCGUUUACCAGGUUAACUCAUUUAUCAGUUUAAUAUUCUUUGUUUAUUAGAUUAUAGUCACCCGUUUACCAGAUUAACGAUCCUUGUUUAUCAGGUAUAGUCACCCGUUUAUCACGUUAAUAUUGCUUGUUUUUCAAGUUAUAAUCAAUCGUUUAUCAGGAUAAUAUCGCGUGUUUACCAUGUUAUAAUCACUCAUUUACCACGUUAAUAUUGCUUAUUUACCAGGUUAUAGUCACUCGUUUACUAGGAUAGUAUCGCGUGUUUACCACGCUAUAGUCACUCCUUUACCAGGUUAGUAUAUCGCUUGUUUACCAGGUUAUAAUCACACGUUUACCAGGAUAGUAUCGCAUGUUUACCACGUUAUAGUCACUCCUUUACCAUGUUAUUAUCGCUUGUUUAACAGGUUAUAGUCACUCGUUUACCAGGAUAGUAUCGCGUGUUUACCACGUUAUAGUCACUCCUUUACCAGGUUAAUAUCGCUUGUUUUACCAGGUUAUAGUCACUCGUUUAUCAGGUUAAUAUCGCUUGUUUACCAGGUUAUAGUCACUGAUUUACCAGGUUAAUAUAGCUUGUUUACCAACUUGAUUACACAUUUUCACGAGCCGCCGUCAUGAAGGCAAAAGAGAAGAAGCGAGCGGUGGGAAACAAGGAGAAGAUAUUCGUCUUCGUGUCCGGAGAUCUCAUCCACUUCCGUGUCUCCAUCGAGGUCGACAUCCAUCUCCUCUGAGUCAGGACCUGCUUCGUUCCGGACUGAAAAUCGAGUUCUGACAGUUUUGCGGGAUCUGUUCUGCCCACAGCCUGCAAAACCGAAAAUACGACCACCAAAAACAGAAAUCGACACUUCGUCAGUUCACAGUUCGAAAGUUUGACGGUUCACAAAAAAUUUGUGCAUAUCAUAACGCAUCACAUGAAAGUUCAAAUAAACCAAUCCAACGUUGUUGACUUCCGGUGGAGCAGAGGUAGCAUCGGCGGUGGCGGCAGCGCUCUCGGCAGCGGCGGAGGCUGCGGCUUCGGUAGCGGCGGCAACAGCGACCGCGGCAUCUCUAGCUUGGCGGCAACACGGCAUAAUGUGUUCCCUCUUCGUCUGCCACCACUGUCGGCUCAGUUCAUCAAGGCCGCUAGGAUCCGUCGUCAUAACUCUGUUCUCCUCUUCGCCGCUUUGGCCUCCUCAAUUGCAGUCCGCCGUGCAUCGAUCUUCGCGUUCCUCAAUUGCAGUCCUUGCCGUUGAGAAGCAAUGGCACUGGUGGGGCAUGGGCGACGGCAGGUGGCUGAAGAUAAGAAGCGAGGGGCGCGGCGCGGUACCUGCCGUUGAAGAGGGAAGAUCCCGACGAGGGCAGCUGUGCCGACGCUGCCCCAGAUGACCACCGUCGAGGAGAGCAGGGACCAGUUACGUAAGAUCAUCCCUGCAAGCACAUGCAUAUGGCGGCCACGACCACGGCCUGCUUCACCUUCUUCCCGGUCACCUCUCCAUGCCGGAAUCUCGGAUCGAGUAGCUCGUCGGGCACUCGCUGGCGAGCAGCGGCGCGACCCAAGCGACGAGGCUUACCUCCGCUGCCGCCGCGCCCCCGAAACUUCGCCCUACUCCGCCGCCCUGUGACACCGGAGGUCGAAGCCGCCGCCGCCGCCACUCGCGUCCGCGCGCCCUUCGCCGCCGCCGCAGCCCGGCGUUCCCUUCGCCUCUUCCACCGCCGCCACCGCCCCUCUCGCCCUUCACCGCUGCAGCCCCCGCCCCGCGCGCCGUUUGCCCCUGCCACCGCCGACGAGAACAAUCGGGAGUAGGGAGGAUAAUACCGGGGGACCGGUAAGGAGAGGAGAAAGGAAAUAGGAGGGGGGGAAUGGAAAAGUAACACGGGCUGCUGCUGCCCGCUCGAUACCUCCGCUCGAAUCUCAAAGACAACGGUGGAUGUCGCACACACUGCAGCACGUAUGUACGUGUAUGUGCG